CAAUAUGUGACCUUUCUUUUGCUUCUGCCCUGACAGCGUUUUUUUCUAUCUUUCUGAACCAGAUCAAAAAACCUGUUGCAUAGCUCAUGAGGUUUCUUUUCUAGACCCUCACCGCUCUGAAAACAAACACUGCUUUGAAGAGGGGGACGCAAACCGCUACGCAAACAGGGAAUUCAAAAUAAAGGAUCUUUUCUGCGUUUGCACUUCUAUUUUGAGAAUCAUCCUGUUCACUGGAUAUGUCUUGAGCAGGAAACGUGAAUAUGUGUGUGUCCGUAAGAGGAAACAAGAAAAAGUGAGGGGCGGAAGAAGAGUAGGAGGCGGAAACUCAGAGAGCAGAGAGAAGGAUGACUCUGUUAUUGUACUGAGAGAGGCGCAAUCACAACUCCAGGGCCGCAGCUCUCCAGAGGGCCAUUGUCUGGGUGUGCACUUGCUGACACGGGCGAGGGAGUGACCCGUCCCUUUUCCGAGCAACACAAGAGCCGCCCUUGACGGCUGCGCUCGGUGCGAGGAAUGCUGGAGUGAGAGACACUGUCAGGCCUGUGCGGACCCAUCAGGCUCGCAAGCUGCAGAAGAGAGAAGCCUUUGUCUAUAUGGCCAUGGGUAUUUAUAGAUGUAAGCCAUGUGCAUAAGGAACUGGAGGAAUCAGUGCACUUUAGACCCCCCUCCCACCACCACUCCCACCUUUCAGAGUUUGAAUGAAGUCUUGACUUGAAUCAAAGCAUAUUGUCAUAUAUCCGACUACAAUUUCUGUGAAUCAAUUCAUCGGUGAAUUAAGUAGCAAUUAGGAAAACUAAACCAUUAUUUCAAAGGAGAUGGCAUAAUCUUACACUACCGUUCAAAAGUUCAGGGUCAGUAAGAAAAAUGAAAAGAUAUUACGCAGCACGACUGUUUUCAACAUUGAUAAUAAUAAUAAGAAAUGUUUCUUGAGCACCGAAUCAGCAUAUUAGAAUGAUUUGUGAAGGUUCAUGUGACACUGAUAUAUUAAAAUAUAUUAAAACAGAAAGUUAUUUUAAAUUAUAAUAAUAUUUCACUAUUACUUUUUCUACUGUACUUUGGUGAGCAUAAGAGACUUCUUUCAAAAACAUUAAAUAAAUCUUACCAACCCCAAACUUUUGAAAGGUAGUGCACUAACUAACGCUCCUCAAAAGGAACAAUUACACACAUAAAAGGGCAUUUCCAAAUCCCACCAUGACUAAAAACAGCAACAAGUGGCUGAUGGGCUGUUUUUUCCUGGCAUCCAUGCAAACAAACUCAAAGUUGAACACAUUCUCAAGCGGAUUUCCUGCAUGAGAGGCAAGGAAGUCUUCUUUCAGAUCAUGAAUAGACAUCAUGCUGAACUGGCCUUCAACCAGCUAAAACAGCAGGAUGAAGGAGCUGAUAGCUGGGUCAAUGGAAAGUUAGGAACAUGAAGAAUACAGGAUGAGAGGAAGAGAGAUAUUUUUAUAUAUUUUGCAGCACUGGCUGUGAAAGGUUUUGAACUUUUGAUUCAAUAUAAUGAGGAGGUGUUAAAAUUUACUGUAAUGAUUCUUGUUGAACAUUAUGCUUUCCUUGCACUGGACAUGUUUAUUUGGGCCUUUAACAAAUUAUAAUUUGGAGGAAAACAUAAGAAAUGAGGAGAACAAUAUUCAGUUCAGUCUAUCUAAGGGUCAUGUCACACAUAAUUGGCUUUAGAAAGGUGAUUUUUAAGUGUAUUUAUUUAAGAUUUUAUACAAAGUAUGCAAUUAAGAGUUCAAUUUUAGAAAUGUAUUACUGUACAAAAUCAUGACAACAGGAAUGACUCUUCAAGUCCGUCCCCUACUUGAAGGGUUCACAUACUGAAAGGGUGAUGAUGUCAUUAUGAUGUCAUUAUGCUUUUUAUGGAAUCUUUUCCAUAUGUUAUCAAGGUAACAAGAUUGACACAUGUCCUGGGGUCACAAUAACAAAAUUUAAUAGUUUAAUAAAUGUUGCAUCCACUAAAAUCUAGCUAAAUUAAAAUGGUUAUAAUUGAAAUUGCCUUUAUGGCAUAGUAGUUAGCCUAAUGAAAUCAUUGUUUACACAAUGGGAAAAACACCAAUUUUGUGACGUUCAAAUUAGUUUGACACAGUAAUGAGUUUUUUCAUUCAUUAGGAUAUUAGCCAUCUAUUGCAUCACCAACAAAACAGUGUAAGUGUUGAUGAGGUUUCCUUUGUAUCCCGAUAAAGAUAAGAAUUAUGAAAUAACAUCUGGUUCACCCUCCAGCAUAGGUACACAGAAAAGGUGCAGAUGACUUAAUAAUGUUAAAAAACUAAAAUAUUGCAUUAUAACUUAUUUCGAGUAACUGUAAGGCUAUUUUCGAAUGAAUACAAUUUCAG